rnacentral:ncRNA from 1 species
AUUUGGGAAAUAGCGGCUGAGUCUCGAUCGAUACGGCGGAAGCCAAUCGAGAUGACGAGGUGGAGGUUCCUCUCCGCGAGGAGAGAGCUAACUUUGGGUAACUCCAAAGGAAAAUCGAAAGAUCAGCGGGUGCCUCUGAAGCCUGAUCACGGGUUUCUUUUCCCCCAUAUUCACACGAUCUCAAAAGCAGAUGGUGACGUCUGCCACAAAGAAAGUGUAGUGAUCUAC